rnacentral:tRNA from 1 species
GGGCGAUUAGCGCAGUUGGUUAGCGCGUUUCCUUGACAUGGAAAAGGUCACAGGUUCGAGUUCUGUAUCGCCCACCA